rnacentral:ncRNA from 1 species
UACGGAUAAGGGCAAACUCUGAGUAAUCAGAGGACGCAAAGGAAAGGGUCUUGGGAAGAGUGAAAAGAAGUAUAGGAAAAGACAGCCUUGCUGCCGAG